UCCUACGGGAGGCAGCAGUGGGGAAUAUUGGACAAUGGGGGCAACCCUGAUCCAGCCAUGCCGCGUGUGUGAAGAAGGCCCUCGGGUUGUAAAGCACUUUCAGCGAGGAAGAACGCCUAGCGGUUAAUACCCGCUAGGAAAGACAUCACUCGCAGAAGAAGCACCGGCUAACUCCGUGCCAGCAGCCGCGGUAAUACGGAGGGUGCAAGCGUUAAUCGGAAUUACUGGGCGUAAAGCGCGCGUAGGUGGCUUGAUAAGCCGGUUGUGAAAGCCCCGGGCUCAACCUGGGAACGGCAUCCGGAACUGUCAAGCUAGAGUGCAGGAGAGGAAGGUAGAAUUCCCGGUGUAGCGGUGAAAUGCGUAGAGAUCGGGAGGAAUACCAGUGGCGAAGGCGGCCUUCUGGACUGACACUAACACUGAGGUGCGAAAGCGUGGGUAGCAAACAGGAUUAGAUACCCUGGUAGUCCACGCCGUAAACGAUGUCGACCAGCCGUUGGGUGCCUAGCGCACUUUGUGGCGAAGUUAACGCGAUAAGUCGACCGCCUGGGGAGUACGGCCGCAAGGUUAAAACUCAAUGAAUUGACGG
rnacentral:rRNA from 1 species